UUUAAUCUUAUGUGCAUAUUGCAUGCAUGGCUUAGAAAUAAUUGAAAAAAAUCUUAAAUCUCUUAAGUAGUAAAAUUUCAUGUUUUGCUAUUUUCUCUGGUUACUAUCUCCUAGAGAGUUAUUUAUAACGAAAUACAACUUAAAUAAAAUAUUGAAUAUUUCUUUUGAUCAAACUUACAAGUAAAAAGAAGUAAAAUAUAAUUUAAUUAAAAAGGCAUCCAUACAAAACCUAAACUUAUAAGCAAGGUACGCUGAACCGGUACCGAUAGGCGUACCGAUCGCCUACUAGACCAGUUCGUACCGGUGCCGAACCGGUCCGCAUAACACACGCGCGCCGGUGGGCUGCCCAGCACGCACGAGCGCGCUUGUACCGGUGCGAACCGGACCAAGGCGGUACCGGGCUUGUACUGGUCGGACCCGAUCCGGUUCGCACCAGUACACCUCCGUACCGCUUGGUUCUGGCCCCAUAGGGGUUGGAACCAUUUUCCACCGCCGUACCGGACCGGUCAGGGACUAGACCGGUCCGGUACGUGUUGAACCGGCCGGUACGGGCCAGUUCAGCAUACCAUGCUCGCAAGGUUUUCUAUUGAGUUU
rnacentral:lncRNA from 1 species